CCUAAUGUCCAGGUCUUACCAUCCCAGGUCCCCAGUACCUGGCAACGCCAGCAGUAGGGAUUAGGCAGCAUUGUUUGUGUUGGGGGCACCUGUAAGAACAGACUCAAGAGGAGAAGAAGUGGAGGCCCACAGAGCACUGUGGCCUUGAAAUCACAUUGGCAUUUGGAGUUAUCUAAACCCAGAGAUGCCAGACUACUUUUCCACCUGCUGUUCCAGCUGAGGUUUUGAUGUUGGAUUUUUAAGCUGAGCCAAACAGGGAACACAAGGAACAAAACAAAGCCAACUACAUUCAGGAUUUCUCUAGUCCAGAAAGCCAGAAGGAUUACAGGGAGGUUGAUAUUUGUCUGAACUGUGACUCUCAGGU